rnacentral:rRNA from 1 species
AGUGAACGCUGGCGGUAUGCCUAACACAUGCGAGUCGAACGGCAGCACAGUAAGAGCUUGCUCUUACGGGUGGCGAGUGGCGGACGGGUGAGGAAUACAUCGGAAUCUACUUUUUCGUGGGUGAUAACGUAGGGAAACUUACGCUAAUACCGCAUACGACCUACGGGUGAAAGCAGGAGAUCUUCGGACCUUGCGCGAUUGAAUGAGCCGAUGUCGGAUUAGCUAGUUGGCGGGGUAAAGGCCCACCAAGGCGACGAUCCGUAGCUGGUCUGAGAGGAUGAUCAGCCACACUGGAACUGAGACACGGUCCAGACUCCUACGGGAGGCAGCAGUGGGGAAUCUUGGACAAUGGGCGCAAGCCUGAUCCAGCCAUACCGCGUGGGUGAAGAAGGCCUUCGGGUUGUAAAGCCCUUUUGUUGGGAAAGAAAAGCAGCAGGUUAAUACCCCGCUGUUCUGACGGUACCCAAAGAAUAAGCACCGGCUAACUUCGUG